rnacentral:RNase_P_RNA from 1 species
UGAGCGAAUUAAGCAGCUGCGGGUCACAAUGCCUAAAGGCAGUGCCCGAGGAAAGUCCGAGCUCCACAGAGCAAGAAUAACGGCUAACGGCCGCCGGGGGUAACCCUAGGGAAAGUGCAACAGAGAUAUACCGCCCGAUGCUUCAUUUUGAAUAUAUCUUAUGUAUUUAAAAUGAAGUGUCGGGUAAGGGUGGAAAGGCGAGGUAAGAGCUCACCGGUACUAAGGAGACUUAGUAGC